CGGGCGUCUCGAAAAUGAAUCAAAACUUUCAACAACGGAUCUCUUGGUUCUGGCAUCGAUGAAGAACGCAGCGAAAUGCGAUAAGUAAUGUGAAUUGCAGAAUUCAGUGAAUCAUCGAAUCUUUGAACGCACAUUGCGCCCGCCAGUAUUCUGGCGGGCAUG
rnacentral:rRNA from 1 species